AUUGAACGCUGGCGGCAUGCCUUACACAUGCAAGUCGAACGGUAACAGGUCUUCCGAUGCUGACGAGUGUUGGACGGGUGAGUAAUACAUCGGAACGUGCCCGCUCGUUGUGGAAAACGGAGCGAAAGCUUUGCUAAUAGCGCAUACGAUCUACGGAUGUAAGCAGGGGACCGCAAGGCCUUACGCGGACGGAGCGGCCGAUGGCAGAUUAGGUAGUUGGUGGGAUAAAAGCUUACCAAGCCGACGAUUUGUAGCUGGUCUGAGAGGACGACCAGCCACACUGGGACUGAGACACGGCCCAGACUCCUACGGGAGGCAGCAGUGGGGAAUUUUGGACAAUGGGCGAAAGCCUGAUCCAGCCAUGCCGCGUGAAGGAUGAAGGUCUUCGGGUUGUAAAAUGCUUUUGUAAGGAACGAAAAGAUGCUUAAGAAUCAAGAGAGUCCAUGACGGUACCGAAAGAAUAAGCACCGGCUAACUACGUG
rnacentral:rRNA from 1 species